rnacentral:rRNA from 1 species
AAACCAGCACCUCAAGUGGUCAGGAGGAUUAUUGGGCCUAAAGCAUCCGUAGCCUGUUCUAUAAGUUUCCGGUUAAAUCCAUUAGCUCAACUAAUGGGCUGCCGAAAAUACUGUAGAACUAGGGAGUGGGAGAGGUAGACGGUAUUCGGUAGGAAGGGGUAAAAUCCUUUGAUCUAUUGAGGACCACCUGUGGCGAAGGCGGUCUACCAGAACACGUUCGACGGUGAGGGAUGAAAGCUGGGGAGCAAACAGGAUUAGAAACCCCGGUAGUCC